AAUAGAUGACGCCGUUGACUUCUUUAAAUAUGUUUGACCGUUCGUCUUAUUCAAAAAAUUUAAGUAAUUAUUAAUUCUUUUCCUACCAUUUGAUUCAUUGUUAAAUAUACUUUUAUGUAUACAUAUAGCUUUACAUAUUUCACAAAAGUUUUUGAAUAAGACGAAUGGUCAAACAUGUGAGAAAAAGUUAACGGCGUCAUCUAUU
rnacentral:pre_miRNA from 1 species